rnacentral:misc_RNA from 1 species
AUUGUGAAUCUUCAGGUAUUUCCUCUAUAUAUACAUAUUCAUCUUGUUGAUGCUCAUAGCUUUUAAGUUGAAAUUGCAUUUAGAGCUUGAUUCUCUUCCAGACCAAAGUUGUAAUUUGAUAAAACUGAAGGACUCCAGGUUGACAAUUCUUUUCAGAAAGCUGUUAGAUGGAAGUUGAUUGAGAACUUAUAUCUAUUAACUCUUUUUAUCAUCUUUCUGCCAAUAAUGGCAGUUGUUAUCACUGGUCAUAAAUUUUGAUUGGUUUUAAAUGUGGCUUCUGUUAUUUUCUAACUGAAUUGCUUUUUCAUUAUAAUAGUUUGUUUCCAGAUUCCUUUUAGUUGGAAGUUAAUUUUUGCCAAUAUGAAAUAUAUAGUGGUAUAGUUGGAGGUGAAACUCAAGUGUAUAAAACAGGACUUAUGUAAGAGAGGCUUCAUUGGAUAAAACAAAAUAUGAAGUAUGAACAGAUGAUUGGUGUGGAAUAAUAAAAGCUAGUGGCGAAAGAAGGAUUAGAUAUCUCUUACCCAAAAUGUGCAAAGCCUGCAGAAAGUAUGUUUUAGCUCUGCUUCUGCUCCUUACUUUAGUAUUCUGGAAUUCCCUUCUAUACUAAUAAGCAUAGUGGGUGUGUCCUUUGCAUUGAAUUGAUUUAUCAAUUCUCUGUUCUGUUGACAAAUGCAGCAUCUCUCUUCAACCAAUAGAGACCUCCCCUGCCACCACCCCACUCCCACUCCUCCCCGAAAAAAAUAGAGGAGAAGAUAAUCUAUUUGUACUUUGUAGUCAAAAUUACGUAUGAGGUGGCAGUCAGAGUGAAUGGGUCAAUUGGUUGGGGAUGAGUGUGGGUGGGUUAGUAGAGCACCAAAUCUCUUUCCAAUGAAAUCAAUUGCCUUUUGAAUUCAGCAAAGCAUCUGAAAAAGAUAUCACUUCAAAAAGAACCGAUAUAGUCCAGUACCAAACUGCAAAAUGUGAUAUUUGUCUGAUUCAUGCUAUCCUGUUCUUUGUGGAAGGGAAGCUUACUGCUGGGUCAUUGAACAUGUUCUGUUUUCUUUGAACAGUGCUAUUGCUGCUUUCAUUUAGUCUUAGUUGGGGAACCAUGUAGUAUUUAGCCAUAUUUCAUUUUCCUGGACUGUCCUUUAGAUGGAGAUGAUAGAUAUUCUGUAUGGGUUUCAUCCCUUUGAAUUCCAAGCUUUGAAACUGAAACUUCCUUGUAGGUUGCGAAUAUCUUAUCAGAAGAUGUAGAGUUCAAGGGGAAAUGGGACCGGUGGAGCUUGUAGAAAUAGGUGUUAGCCCCCUUUAUAAUUGAGAGAGUUGAAUAGAUUACUUCAAUCAUUAAUGAUUCUUGUGUUUUUGUGCAUAUAUAUGUACUUUAUAACAUGAAAGAAUCAUGAGGAUAAUACAGUUUGUUGAAAACACCAUAAUUGGUUAGUCACUGCGUCUGACUUUCUUUAUUGCUGGUAUAAUAUAUUAUGACUCGUUUUUUUCAUUAUGUGAUUGUUCUAUUCCACUUUACAGAAAACUCCAAAGGACAAGAAUGCAAGUUUGGUGAUCCAUGGGUUUGUAGAUAAGGUAGUUGUAUUUCCACAUUCAUACUUGCGGAUAUAUAUAUAUAUUUUUUCUAUUCGAUCCACUUCCUUUCCUUUUUCUCCCCCCUUGUUUUCUCUUAUUUUAUGAGAUUGGCCUUAAUUCUUUAAUGUGCCUUACUACCUUAUAUUGCACAAACUUGGAUUUCUUGGAUCAAAUAUUGAAGGUAUAAUUUGGUGUUGGAUAACAUUUAUAUUAUUGUUUCUGGGAUUUAUCAGCAUGUACACUACAUACUUCAUGGAUUUGUAUGUGUGUGUGUGUAUUUUCUCAUUAGCACACAUAGGAUUACAUACUGACAUAUAUUUGUUAUUUGCUCUAUGUUAUCUAUUGAUUUGAACAAGAACAGGUUAUUGUAGGAGUCAUGGAUUUGCUUAGCAUGCGAAUCCCUCCAUAUGUCAGGAUUGAUCUUCUCCAGAUCAUCAUAACUCAGUCAUUGAGUGCAGGUAACUUCCUGUAGAUUUGUGCCUGUCAUAUAACCUUUUCCCAGCAUUUAUAAUGCAACGCCUGUAUGUGCAUUUUCUUCCCAGCAACCUUAUCUACUUUCUAUGGCCUGGAAGAAAAUUCUUGGUUCACCAGAUGCAAAAGAAGCUUGACAUUUGCCUGUUUGACUUUGACAAGCCUGCAUUUUAUGCCUUCUUUGACAACAUGGUUUGAAGUUUUUCAAUUUUAUUUGUGCUGGAUGUGUUUACUAUAUCAGAACAAGGUUGCCUUAUUAUUAUUUUUGAUAGACAUGAUGCAUCUGCACCUUUAACUUAUGCACUUCUGUCUUGAAAAUGAAAUCAGCUAAGCAUUUUGCUAGAGGCCUCAUCUGAAACAUCUACUAGAAAUUCAUUUAUAGUUUUUAUUAGGCAUCUGAGUCUUGGUUCUUUAAUUUUCUGAUGUAGUCCAUCCACUUGGCAGAUAAAAAAUUUGUGAACUGGACCCUCCAAGUAGCAAGUGUGCAUGCACUGAAAGCACCAUUGCCAUUCUUAAAGUCCAUUGAGGUGAUAAACUGUUCCCCAACUUAUUUCUGCUUUAUUACACUACAUGGUAACUAACUGUGUGAAGUCAUUUAAUUUAAGAGAAAUAAUCUUUUACCUAAUUACUAUGUGGUUCUUUUUCCUUUUCUACAAUGCUUUCUGCUUUAUUCCCAGGUUUCCUUCUCAGAUGCUCAAAAGUAUAAAGCAGCAAUUCUACAUGAGCAGCCUUUUAACCUGAAACGGUUUGUCCCAUUCUGCACUUGUAUGGCCUUCAGAUAUAAUUAGGAUUUUUUGGUGGGUUUGCUUGGCCAUGUAUAAACAAGAUAUGGAUUCAGUUGAGCCCAUGAGAUUAUGUAAUCCAAGUCACACUUGUGGAGUUGAAUUUCCAAUUUCUUAACAAUUGUUCUAUUGCUGAUAAUGUCCUCAUUAUUCCUUUAUUUGUUUGCAUCAGGAGAACUGUGACAACAGAAACAUUUGAAAUUUUGUUGAAACUUGACUUCAGUGAUGGCUGUGGUUGUCUGUGCACCCAAAUCAAUAUCCCUUUUGGUUUUAAGGUUUUAAAUGACUGUUUUAAGCUUGAUAAGGACGCUGCAAUGCAAGAUCUGAGAGAGAAGGCGAUUCAGGAUUUUGGUUGUGGUCAGAAUGCAGUGAUUGAAAGAAAGAAAAUUUUAGCUUCAAAAACUGAGUUCACAGUCCAUGCUAUUGUAACCAACAUCAAAGCUUUUGAAUCUGAUUCUUUGAAUAAUGAUGUGAAAAGAGCAACGGAAAGUAUAAACGGUCCUCAGACAUCUCAAAAACGAUCAAAAGGUCGGAAGCGGAAAUCAAUAUUUUAAAGACUAGGGCUUAUAUUUUGGUUGUUUAUGUACAUAUUUGUUAUAACUCAUAGAAAUAUGGUGUUCUGUGCCAGUGACUGGGUGAAUUUUGUUAGAUAUUACACUCGGUCUCCCUAGCUGCGGUAGGCAAGUGACAAAUUUGAGAUCAUAAAGGGUUCUAUACUUCACCCUCAAAAAAAAAAAAAAAAAAAAA